AUUGAACGCUGGCGGCAUGCCUUACACAUGCAAGUCGAACGGCAGCACGGGUGCUUGCACCUGGUGGCGAGUGGCGAACGGGUGAGUAAUACAUCGGAACGUACCUUAUCGUGGGGGAUAACGCAGCGAAAGCUGUGCUAAUACCGCAUACGCCCUGAGGGGGAAGGCGGGGGACCGUAAGGCCUCGCGCAAUUAGAGCGGCCGAUACCGGAUUAGCUAGUUGGUGAGGUAAAGGCUCACCAAGGCAACGAUCAGUAGCUGGUCUGAGAGGACGAUCAGCCACACUGGGACUGAGACACGGCCCAGACUCCUACGGGAGGCAGCAGUGGGGAAUUUUGGACAAUGGGGGCAACCCUGAUCCAGCAAUGCCGCGUGAGUGAAGAAGGCCUUCGGGUUGUAAAGCUCUUUUGUCAGGGAAGAAACAGCAGCUCUAACACAGUAUGCGAAUGACGGUACCUGAAGAAUAAGCACCGGCUAACUACGUGCCAGCAGCCGCCGUAA
rnacentral:rRNA from 1 species